rnacentral:rRNA from 1 species
GAUGAACGCUGGCGGCGUGCUUAACACAUGCAAGCCGAACGAGAAAUGUAGACGGAAACCUUCGGGCGGAAGCCUUCAUUUCGAGUGGCGGACGGGUGAGUAACGCGUGGGUAACCUGCCUCAUACAGGGGGAUAACAGUUGGAAACGACUGUUAAUACCGCAUAAGACCACAGCAUCGCAUGAUGCGGGGGUAAAAACUCCGGUGGUAUGAGAUGGACCCGCGUUCGAUUAGCCAGUUGGCGGGGUAACGGCCCACCAAAGCGACGAUCGAUAGCCGAUCUGAGAGGAUGACCGGCCACAUUGGGACUGAGACACGGCCCAAACUCCUACGGGAGGCAGCAGUGGGGAAUAUUGCACAAUGGGGGAAACCCUGAUGCAGCGACGCCGCGUGAGUGAAGAAGUACUUCGGUAUGUAAAGCUCUAUCAGCAGGGAAGAAAAUGACGGUACCUGAGUAAGAAGCCCCGGCUAACUACGUG